rnacentral:rRNA from 1 species
AUUGAACGCUGGCGGCAGGCUUAACACAUGCAAGUCGAGCGGAGAUGAGGUGCUUGCACCUUAUCUUAGCGGCGGACGGGUGAGUAAUGCUUAGGAAUCUGCCUAUUAGUGGGGGACAACAUUCCGAAAGGAAUGCUAAUACCGCAUACGUCCUACGGGAGAAAGCAGGGGACCUUCGGGCCUUGCGCUAAUAGAUGAGCCUAAGUCGGAUUAGCUAGUUGGUGGGGUAAAGGCCUACCAAGGCGAAGAUCUGUAGCGGGUCUGAGAGGAUGAUCCGCCACACUGGGACUGAGACACGGCCCAGACUCCUACGGGAGGCAGCAGUGGGGAAUAUUGGACAAUGGGCGGAAGCCUGAUCCAGCCAUGCCGCGUGUGUGAAGAAGGCCUUUUGGUUGUAAAGCACUUUAAGCGAGGAGGAGGCUACUUAGAUUAAUACUCUAGGAUAGUGGACGUUACUCGCAGAAUAAGCACCGGCUAACUCUGUGCCAGCCGCCGCGGUAAGAC